ACUCCUACGGGUGGCUGCAGUGGGGAAUAUUGGACAAUGGGCGAAAGCCUGAUCCAGCCAUGCCGCGUGUGUGAAGAAGGCCUUUUGGUUGUAAAGCACUUUAAGUGGGGAGGAAAAGCUUAUGGUUAAUACCCAUAAGCCCUGACGUUACCCACAGAAUAAGCACCGGCUAACUCUGUGCCAGCAGCCGCGGUAAUACAGAGGGUGCAAGCGUUAAUCGGAAUUACUGGGCGUAAAGCGCGCGUAGGUGGCUAUUUAAGUCAGAUGUGAAAGCCCCGGGCUUAACCUGGGAACUGCAUCUGAUACUGGAUAACUAGAGUAGGUGAGAGGGGAGUAGAAUUCCAGGUGUAGCGGUGAAAUGCGUAGAGAUCUGGAGGAAUACCGAUGGCGAAGGCAGCUCCCUGGCAUCAUACUGACACUGGGGUGCGAAAGCGUGGGUAGCAAACAGGAUUAGAUACCCUGGUAGUCCACGCCGUAAACGAUGUCUACCAGUCGUUGGGUCUUUUAAAGACUUAGUGACGCAGUUAACGCAAUAAGUAGACCGCCUGGGGAGUACGGCCGCAAGGUCAAAACUCAAAUGAAUUGACGGGGGCCCGCACAAGCGGUGGAGCAUGUGGUUUAAUUCGAUGCAACGCGAAGAACCUUACCUGGUCUUGACAUAGUGAGAAUCUUGCAGAGAUGCGAGAGUGCCUUCGGGAAUUCACAUACAGGUGUUGCAUGGAUGUCGUCAGCUCG
rnacentral:rRNA from 1 species